GCCCGGUGGUGCAGUUGGUAGCACCACUGCCUUGCAGCAAGAAGGUCCAGGGUUUGACUCCCGGCCUGGGGUCU